rnacentral:rRNA from 1 species
UGCUGCAUGGUUGUCGUCAGCUCGUGCCGUGAGGUGUCGGCUUAAGUGCCAUAACGAGCGCAACCCUCAUCAUUAGUUACCAUCAGGUAAGGCUGGGGACUCUAAUGAGACUGCCAUCGUAAGAUGUGAGGAAGGUGGGGAUGACGUCAAAUCAGCACGGCCCUUACGUCCGGGGCGACACACGUGUUACAAUGGGUGGUACAAAGGGCAGCUACCUGGCGACAGGGAUGCUAAUCUCGAAAACCGCUCUCAGUUCGGAUCGGAGUCUGCAACUCGACUCCGUGAAGCUGGAUUCGCUAGUAAUCGCGCAUCAGCCACGGCGCGGUGAAUACGUUCCCGGGCCUU